AUAGAACUAACCAAUAGACCACAAUAGACAGUGACAAUGUCUGUGAAUAUUUUGAUCAAAUGAUGACAGGAAUAAUGAAACUUCGUAACUUAUCUAUAUGAUGUGUUUUCCCAUAUGUUGCAAAGUUUGGUUCAUAUUAAUACCUCUUGCAAUCAUACUGGGGUGGAUGUUCUACAAAAAAUUCAAAGAAGAGAAUUCAUUAACAGAGGUCAUUCAUGUUUACAAUAACGCUACUAAAAGAGCUAGUGCAACUAACAACACACGUUUGCAAGAAUUUUACUAUGAAUGGCGAAAUUGGAGCGUUUAGAAGUAUUUUGUUUGUACUUACUAUAAUCAUAGUUAUGUUUUUUGUAAUUGCUAAUAAGUCGAAUUUUGUUAUUAAACCUGAUU
rnacentral:lncRNA from 1 species